rnacentral:misc_RNA from 1 species
UCGAAUUCAUUCGUUCGUCUCUACCGAAGUACUUGAGUGAAACAAGAAGAAGAAAAUAUGUUGGGGAUUAUUAGGCAAAAAGCUUUUGCGCAGUCCCUGCAGAGGAUUCGGCCUGCUACUUCAGCAUGGAGAGGUUAUUCAUCCGCCGCUAAAGAGAUGACUGUUAGAGAAGCACUGAACUCUGCUCUCGACGAGGAAAUGUCUGCUGAUCCUAAAGUCUUCUUGAUGGGAGAAGAGGUUGGGGAAUAUCAGGGCGCAUAUAAGAUAUCUAAAGGGCUUUUGGAGAAGUA